rnacentral:rRNA from 1 species
AGGACGAACGCUGGCGGUGUGCUUCACACAUGCAAGUCGAACGAGGUAGCAAUACCUAGUGGCGGACGGGUGAGUAACGCGUGGGAAUCUGCCUUUAGAUGGGGGAUAACGGGCCGAAAGGUCCGCUAAUACCGCAUAGGCCGCAAGGUUAAAGGAGUAAUCCGUCUAAAGAUGAGCCCGCGUCCGAUUAGCUAGUUGGUGAGGUAACGGCCCACCAAGGCGACGACGGGUAGCC